GAUAUCGGAAGGAACACCAAUAUGGCGAAGGCACUGUACUGGGCUUUUCCUGACGCUCAGAGACGAAAGCUGAAGGAGUGAUUAGGAUUAGAUACCCUAGUAAUUUCAGCCGUAAACGAUGAAAACUCACUGUCGAGCCAAUAUAUGGAGCGGUGGUCAAGCUAACGCGUGAAGUUUUCCGCCUGGGGAUUACGCUUGCAAAAGUGAAACUCAAAGGAAUUGACGGGGACCCGCACAAGCGGUGGAGUAUGUGGUUUAAUUCGAUGCAACGCGAAAAACCUUACCAGGGUUUGAAAUAAUUUCAAAACUUCUUGAAAGAGAAGCCUCCUUCGGGAUGGAAUUACAGGUGGUGCAUGGCUGUCGUCAGCUCGUGUUGUGAAAUGUCAAGUUAAGUCUUGUAACGAGCGCAACCCAUGUCUCUUGUUGCUGUUUACAGUGCUUAAGAGAAACUGCCGAUCAACAUCGGAGGAAGGUGUGGAUGAUGUCAAGUCAGCAUGCCCCUUACAUCCUGGGCUACACACGUACUACAAUGGUCGAGACAAAGGGUCGCUAACCUGCAAAGGCAUGCCAAUCUCAUAAACUCGAUCUCAGUUCGGAUUGUACUCUGCAACUCGAGUACAUGAAGGUGGAAUCGCUAGUAAUCGCUGGUCAGCAUACAGCGGUGAAUACGUUCCCGGGUCUUGUACACACUGCCCGUCACACCAUGGAAGUCGACCCUUCCCUAAGUCGUUACUCGAACCUGUAAAGGACGAGGACGCCGAAGGCAGAGUUGGUGACUAGGGUGAAGUCGUAACAAGGUAGCCGUACUGGAAGGUGUGGCUG
rnacentral:rRNA from 1 species